GAUGAACGCUGGCGGCGUGCCUAAUACAUGCAAGUCGAGCGAACAGAUAAGGAGCUUGCUCCUUUGACGUUAGCGGCGGACGGGUGAGUAACACGUGGGUAACCUACCUAUAAGACUGGAAUAACUCCGGGAAACCGGGGCUAAUGCCGGAUAACAUUUAGAACCGCAUGGUUCUAAAGUUAAAUAUGGUUUUGCUAUCACUUAUAGAUGGACCCGCGCCGUAUUAGCUAGUUGGUAAGGUAACGGCUUACCAAGGCAACGAUACGUAGCCGACCUGAGAGGGUGAGCGGCCAGACUGGAACUGAGACACGGUCCAGACUCCUACGGGAGGCAGCAGUAGGGAAUCUUCCGCAAUGGGGGAAAGCAUGACGGAGCAACGCCGCGUGAGUGAUGAAGGUCUUCGGAUCGUAAAACUCUGUUAUUAGGGAAGAACAAAUGUGUAAGUAACUGUGAACGUCUUGACGGUACCUAAUCAGAAAGCCACGGCUAACUACGUG
rnacentral:rRNA from 1 species